rnacentral:misc_RNA from 1 species
GACGAGGACGAGCCGGACGAUGA